rnacentral:rRNA from 1 species
UAACUCCGCCGGCGACCGGCGCACGGGUGCGUAACGCGUAUGCAACCUACCUUUAACAGGGGCAUAACACUGAGAAAUUGGUACUAAUUCCCCAUAACAUUCGAGAAGGCAUCUUCUUGGGUUAAAAACUCCGGUGGUUAAAGAUGGGCAUGCGUUGUAUUAGCUAGUUGGUGAGGUAACGGCUCACCAAGGCAACGAUACAUAGGGGGACUGAGAGGUUAACCCCCCACAUUGGUACUGAGACACGGACCAA